rnacentral:rRNA from 1 species
AUACGGAGGGGGCUAGCGUUGUUCGGAAUUACUGGGCGUAAAGCGCGCGUAGGCGGAUCGUUAAGUCAGGGGUGAAAGCCCGGAGCUCAACUCCGGAACUGCCCUUGAUACUGGCGAUCUCGAGUCCGGGAGAGGUGGGCGGAAUUCCUAGUGUGGAGGUGAAAUUCGUAGAUAUUAGGAGGAACACCAGUGGCGAAGGCGGCUCACUGGCCCGGUACUGACGCUGAGGUGCGAAAGCGUGGGGAACAAACAGGAUUAGAUACCCUAGUAGUCC